rnacentral:rRNA from 1 species
CCUACGGGAGGCAGCAGUGAGGAAUAUUGGUCAAUGGGCUUAAGCCUGAACCAGCCAAGUCGCGUGAGGGAAGACUGUCCUAUGGGUUGUAAACCUCUUUUGUCAGGGAGCAAAUGGCGCUACGUGUAGCGUUAUCGAGAGUCCCUGAAGAAAAAGCAUCGGCUAACUCCGUGCCAGCAGCCGCGGUAAUACGGAGGUUGCGAGCGUUAUCCGGAUUGAUUGGGUUUAAAGGGUGCGUAGGCGGAAUGCCAAGUCAGCGGUAAAAUCCCGGGGCUCAACCUCGCUCCGCCGUUGAAACUGGCGUUCUUGAGUGGGCGAGAAGUAUGCGGAAUGCGUGGUGUAGCGGUGAAAUGCAUAGAUAUCACGCAGAACUCCGAUUGCGAAGGCAGCAUACCGGCGCCCAACUGACGCUGAAGCACGAAAGCGUGGGUAUCGAACAGGAUUAGAUACCCGGGUAGUC